AUGAACAAAUUGACCUUGCUGUUCAAUUCAGGGACCAACCAACACUUAACAGUAUCAACAAAAUUGACCUCAAACAAUAGCCAAUUGAGCCCAAACAGUGGUAAAUCCUAUCCAAGAGCAAUGCCUCAAUGGCCACGAACAAGAGCAGAGAGAGGAGGGGCGAACUCACCUGAAGACAGAAAGGAGAAAGCUCCAUGGGUGGAGCGUCCUGAGCUGCAGCAGGGCAAGGUCGACCCCUCCUGCCUCAAGCAUCCAAUCCUUGCCAUGCACAUCUACCAUGGAGGAUCAAACCAGAUAUUAGAGACAGAAAAGGUGCGUGUGUGGGCGCGAUGGGCGUCGGAGAGGAGCCGCCGGAGGCACCGGAGCCACGCCAGUGUGGAGGCGCCUGAAACCACAGCCAUGGUGAGGGUUGUGCGCUAG
rnacentral:rRNA from 1 species